AUACAGAGAGAACAGGAGGGAGAGGGAGAGAACAGGAGGGAGAGGUUAACACAGAGAGUACCGGAGGGAGAGGUUAACACAGAGAGAACAGGAGGGAGAGGUUAACACAGAGAGUACAGGAGGGAGAGGUUAACACAGAGAAAACAGGAGGGAGAGAUUAAUACAGAGAGUACAAGAGGGAGAGGUUAACACAGAGAGUACAGGAGGGAGAGGUUAACACAGAGAAAACAGGAGGGAGAGAUUAACACAGAGAGUACAGGAGGGAGAGGUUAACACAGAGAAAACAGGGGGGAGAGGUUAACACAGAGAGAACAGGAGGGAGAGGUUAACACAGAGAGUACAGGAGGGAGAGGUUAACACAGAGAGAACAUGGGGGAGAGGUUAACACAGAGAGUACAGGAGGGAGAGGG
ensembl:lncRNA